ACAUGCAAGUCGAGCGAAUGGAUUAAGAGCUUGCUCUUAUGAAGUUAGCGGCGGACGGGUGAGUAACACGUGGGUAACCUGCCCAUAAGACUGGGAUAACUCCGGGAAACCGGGGCUAAUACCGGAUAACAUUUUGAACCGCAUGGUUCGAAAUUGAAAGGCGGCUUCGGCUGUCACUUAUGGAUGGACCCGCGUCGCAUUAGCUAGUUGGUGAGGUAACGGCUCACCAAGGCAACGAUGCGUAGCCGACCUGAGAGGGUGAUCGGCCACACUGGGACUGAGACACGGCCCAGACUCCUACGGGAGGCAGCAGUAGGGAAUCUUCCGCAAUGGACGAAAGUCUGACGGAGCAACGCCGCGUGAGUGAUGAAGGCUUUCGGGUCGUAAAACUCUGUUGUUAGGGAAGAACAAGUGCUAGUUGAAUAAGCUGGCACCUUGACGGUACCUAACCAGAAAGCCACGGCUAACUACGUGCCAGCAGCCGCGGUAAUACGUAGGUGGCAAGCGUUAUCCGGAAUUAUUGGGCGUAAAGCGCGCGCAGGUGGUUUCUUAAGUCUGAUGUGAAAGCCCACGGCUCAACCGUGGAGGGUCAUUGGAAACUGGGAGACUUGAGUGCAGAAGAGGAAAGUGGAAUUCCAUGUGUAGCGGUGAAAUGCGUAGAGAUAUGGAGGAACACCAGUGGCGAAGGCGACUUUCUGGUCUGUAACUGACACUGAGGCGCGAAAGCGUGGGGGAGCAAACAGGAUUAGAUACCCUGGUAGUCCACGCCGUAAACGAUGAGUGCUAAAGUGUUAGAGGGUUUCCGCCCUUUAGUGCUGAACUUAACGCAUUAAGCACUCCGCCUGGGGGAGUACGG
rnacentral:rRNA from 1 species